UCGUUAAUCCACGGUUACAGAUCUUUUAUAAUUUGGUCACGAUCAUAUUCUAGGGUUUUACGUAUUUAAUCCGCAGCAAUCUUGAAGCCGCCGAUUCCAUUGUUUUCUACUUCUUUGCUGUUCUGGUUGUUUCUCUGGCAGCGCGGUGUGGCUUAGACAGAUUUAUAUCUGCACAUUUUUGCGUAAUUUCGACAUCGGGGUUCUACAUUCUAAUGUUUCUACACUAAUCAAGCAUUGCGCGAUCGUCGCGAGUGCUAGAUCGCUUUCGGUAGCCGAUGGGGUUCCCUCGGCAGUGGUGGUGGUGGUGGUGGAGGUUUCGGUCGCCGUCGAACGAGCUGGUCACGGGAUCGGUAUAUUUGUGUUGCUGCGGUUGAAUCUUUGCGCUCCGUCGGACUUAGCUGUCUCAAAGUGAGUUCAAAUGGGCUGAAAGGAGUAAAGGACGUGGAGAUGACCUAUCUGAUAAACCGUUAGGGCAAGUCCCCUAAAGGUCUAGAAAGUAGAAGGUCAAGGGUCACUCUGCAACAAGUUCUCUCGGGUCUGUAAGAUCCACAUCAGUAUUCAUGGUAAAGGGGUCGGUUUCCUUCUUCAAGAAACAACCACGUGUGAUAUAAGAGUAACUCAAGAUUAUCACAAAGUAACGUCACAUUGUAUUUGACCAUCUUAGUUCUCCCAACAACACGAUCUCUCGUGCUUCUACACUUAUUGGGAACUUUAUUGUGUUGAGCUUGGACCUUUCGUUAGGUUAAAACAAAGUUAUUGUACUUUAUCUAUUAAAGUGAUUCAAACAAUUAUUUGGAUCUAUUGGAACAUAAUAAUUCAUAUCGGAUUUUAUGGCGUA